GAUCCAGUGGCUUAGUGGUUAGAGCAUCAGUCUCGGAUUCGAGAGGUUGUGGGUUCGAUUGAUUGAGUCAUACCUCGCUUGGUGCUCA